rnacentral:misc_RNA from 1 species
UUACGGAUCAUAUAUAAAUAAUCAUAUUGGAGCCAUCGAUAGUGUCUGCUCUCGCUCAACGGCAGUGGCUGGAUUGGCUAUGCACUUAGCUUCGUUGUUCUUGGCAAGAACAAAGUUUCUUCUCUUAAAUAAGCUCUUCUUCUCCACCACCACUUCCACGAACCCACAAAAUACUUCUCUCAUUUCACACUAUUUUUCCCUUCUUCACUCUUCCCCUAACCCAACUCAUCUGCGCCACCUCCAUGCUCGCUUACUCCGCACCUCCCUAUACGACAAUGUAGUCCUCACUUCUAAGCUCGUUUUGAUGUAUUCCCAUCAUAACAAACUCAUCCCUCAUUCUCUUCCGGUUUUUUUUCACAUGCCAUGUAGAAAUAUCUACUCUUGGAACAUCAUAAUUGGUGAGUUUUCUCGGUCGAAUUUUCCCGAGAAAUCUUUAGACUUGUUUCUUCAAAUGUGGAGGGGAUCCCAUGUUCGACCCGAUGACUUCUCUCUUCCUCUUGUUUUACGGGCGUGUGCUGGCUCGGGAUCGGUGGAACUUGGGAAUUCAAUACAUGGAUUGUGUGUGAAAACGGGUUGGGCAGUGAGUUUAUUUGUUGCAUCUGCUUUGAUUUUUAUGUACGUUACUUUUGGCAAUUUGUUUUAUGCUAGAGUGUUGUUUGAUGGAAUGUCUAAGAGAGAUGCGGUGUUAUGGACUGCAAUUCUGGCUGGUUAUGCUCAACAUGGGGAACCAAUGUUGGGAUUGCAAGUGUUUAGGGAGAUGGUUGAUGUGGGUGUCACGCUUGAUGGGGUUGUUAUGGUGAGCUUGCUUUUGGUGUGUGGUCAAUUGGGGUGCUUAAAGCAUGGAAAAAGUGUUCAUGGGUGGUGUGUGAGAAAUUGCUUGGUGUUCGAGUUAAGUUUAGGGAACGCCAUAGUCGAUAUGUACGUUAAAUGUGCAGCGCUAGCUUAUGCGCACAGAGUUUUCGUUGAAAUGACUGAAACAGACGUGUUUUCUUGGAGCUCUUUAAUUUUGGGUUACGGAUUGAGUGGCAAUGUUAGUAUUUCUUUGGCGCUUUUUGAUCAGAUGCAUAUGAGAGGGAUUAAACCCAAUGAUGUAACUUUUCUUGGUGUCUUAUCAGCGUGUGCCCAUGGGGGCUUGGUGGAGGAAGCACGUUCCCACUUCAAAAUGAUCAAACAUUAUGGGCUGUUGGCUGGAUUCAAACAUUAUUCUAGUAUGGUUGAUUGUCUAGGGAGAGCUGGGCUUUUGGAAGAGGCAGAGAGAUUUAUCGAAGAAAUGCCCAUGGAACCUGAUGAAGCAGUGCUAGGUGCCAUAUUAGCAGGAUGUAGAAUUCAUAAUAAUGUUGAGGUAGGAGAACGAAUUGCAAAGAAAUUAAUUAGGUUGAAGCCAGAGAAAGCUGGAUAUUAUGUGCUUUUGUCCAACAUGUAUGCAUCAGCGGGUAGAUAUGACGAGGCUGAGAUAAUUAGGGACUUGAUGAAAGAAAAGAAUGUCUCUAAGGUACCUGGGUAUAGCUUGAUUGAAUCAAAGAGUUCUUUUCCUCCAUCACAAAAUGAAGAUCUGGAUUUUCUUGAAAUCUGAUGAGUAAUUUUGUGUGAUAUACUUACAACGGCUCCAAUUGCUCUGUUGGAAUAGGAUACAAAAACAGAAUGCUACAGCGUUUAGUGAUAAGGUUAGUAUUACUAUGAUUACUAUGAGCAUAAUGCGUAUAACCUUUCAUAAUUGUAGACCUGCAGCAGUAAGUUGCAUGUUGAGGGAAAUCAUGACUUUGCAUUUUGGAGGAUGCUUUGUAUUGUAUAUCAUGACCUUAAGCACCACAUGUCUUUAUUAGCCUUAGCUCCAGCAUAACUUGAACACAUGACACUUCACUAUGUUGUAGUAGAAUUCUAAUUGCAAAGUCAAAGUGCUCAUUGUGCUUCUACGUCCCUACAAAACAUAGAAACAAAAAGUAAAUAUAUAGAUAAGAAAAGGGAAAAGGAAAUUAAGUACUCAUUGUGCUUUUAACAGUUUCUUUUCUGACUAGGGGAUUUAGGGCGUUCAUAAUAUUUAUUUUGUUGAAAAAUGUUUAUUCUG